GGGAACUAAAGGAAAUAAAAAUUAUUUGUCCUUUCUCAGUGUUGCCAUUCUUAUAUUGACCCUUAUGGCCAUAAGCUUUCCUUCCCAAACCACCGCAAACAAUCGUCAUUUAUUUCCACCUCCAUCUCCAAGAAUUUCUACCCCUAACCAUUUUAAGUCUCCACCGCCAUCUCCACCCAUGAAACACUAUGUGCCGCCACCUCCACCUCCCGAGAAAUCAUACAUGUACAAGUCUCCUCCCCCACCUUCUCACUAAGCUGAUCGGAGAUAAGCCAAUGACUUCAAAGGAAAUUGAAGAGUAUUUGGUUAAAGAAUGGGUGAGCUUAAGAAAAUAAUAUAGUUAUAAUAAACCCCAUGGAGACACGAUUACUUAGAGGCUAGAGCUCCAUAAUAUUGUAUUGUUUCUAAUUUCUUUUCUUUUCUUUUCUUGAGGUUAGUUUUAUUUCACUCCUUUUUACUCUAUUCUAAUUUUCAGUUUCAUAUUUAUAAUUAAGAAAAAUGAACCAGACCUUUUCACCUCAUUACUUCAAGGAGUUUUGUUAUUUGUACCCGGAGUUUGACACUCCGAGUUACCUGGCGUGAGUGAGGGCAUCGGGCCCUACACAUUUAUUGGUGUGGGGCCCCCGACCCCAAUGUGAGUAACUCUGGGUACCUAUAGCAUAACUCUAUUUUGAGUGGUGCUCCUCCUGCUUUCCAUUGCUUGCUCCAUUUCUUUUUGGCAUGUCAUUUCAGCUCAUGCUGUACAUCUCGCCCAUCAACAAAUAAAUGGAUAAAGUCACUUCGUUUAAUAUGGGGACGCUCAUUUAUGACAGCGUUGGUUGCAAUUUCACUACCAUCAAAUCAUUAUGUUUCAUUUUAGAUCAAGUCUUCAGAUGAA